ensembl:lincRNA
GGCCUCGUCUGGUUAAUGAGGACCGUGAUUCCUCAGGCACCUUCCAGCUUUUCUUUGUAUUCACAGGGGCUCACACGGCCCCUCACUAGGGACAGGACCUCCUCUCCGUUCCGAGUCACCUCAGCAGGACGCUGAGCAGGUGUUGGAGCAGUGACUCCAUGCCUGUCACCUGUAGGGGUGUGUGCGCGCACGUGUGUGUGCGUGUCUGUGUGUGCGUGUGUGUGCGUAGCUGAGACGGAUUUAAAUUGCUGUGAUUUGUCCUCUAGGAGGGGAAACCGAAGUGGUUCUGGUGAACCCGGCAGAGGCCUAUUUUGGGACAUUUACUCUUGGAUGACACUGCUGCCCCAGAGACGUGUGGCCAGCAGGAAGCCCGGCAAUCCCAUUGUUCACAGGUUCACACAAUUCCCAGGGAUCUGAGGUAUGGCUGCAGGGCUCCUCCCUGACGCUGUCCUGAUGCCCUCCCGGGCGGGAGCCCCACCUCCCCUAUCCUCUCUUCCUUCUCCCUGGGAGCCGAGUACUUUACCCCUCUCCUGUCAGAAAGCCAGAGGUAAGGUGCUUUUCCUCUACUAAUGAAUCUGGAGAAUGACUCCUGGCAACCAAGAUUCUGUCUCAGAAUAACAAGGCGGGAGAUGUAGUUCAGGCAAAGGCCUUGGGUUUAAUCCCCAGUACCUUAAAAAAAAAAAAAAUGUUCCAGGGAGUCAAAUGGUAGGGAAGGGCCUGAUACCCAUGGGCGCCAAAGCAGAUCGGCGUGGCUCUGCUAAGGUUCUAACCAUCCCUUUCCCGGCGUGGGCCUGGGACAGAUGUCGUUCACUUGAUGCGAAUGAGCAAAAGCCGGACGGACCGCUAUGGUAUCGCCUUGGAGGUCCCAGAGGCGCAUCUUGGGGAACGCGCUGCCCACCCGGGGCCCUUCCGCCGCCCGAGAAGCGGUGACAGCGGAGCUCCAGUCGGGCCAGGGGCGUGGACAGCACCCAGAAGCAGCCGNNAGGUGGGGUGUGCCAUGGACACGCGGCCGGUCGGCUCUGCGCGGCGAGGCCCGCCCGGGCGUGGUGGUCAUCGCUACCAUUUUAUUGAUCCCAGGGGCACGGCGGGCCUUCCCUCCGGCUUCUAGGCUUCCAGGGGCCAGGAGGAGUGCGCUAACAAUGAAAGACAGCGGGGAAUUGUGGCUGCGAAGGUCUGGACGCCGCGGACGCAGAUCACCCAGGCCGCACAGCGGUUCAGAGGCGGAAGAACCAGUUCCGGUUCGGCCUCCACGUGGUCAUAGUGCGGGCUCUGCUUGCGCGGCGCCGGGCUGGAGGCGUCUUUUUCCGGUUUGGAAAGCUGGGUCUCUGUGUGUGGCGGGGUGGGAGGGUUUGCUCCGGGCCUCUGUCCUCCGGGUCACCGCAGCGGGAAGGCCACACCUCGGCCACAACUCCAGAGUUGUGCUAGGAAAGCGGUCUCGCCGUCCAGAGAGCUGGCGCCUUGCACCCUGGAAAAUCUUGGCCAGCGCCCCUCUCCAACCCAGUUUCCGGUUUGGAAAGCUGGGUCUCUGUGUGUGGCGGGGUGGGAGGGUUUGCUCCGGGCCUCUGUCCUCCGGGUCACCGCAGCGGGAAGGCCACACCUCGGCCACAACUCCAGAGUUGUGCUAG